rnacentral:tRNA from 1 species
GCCUAGUUAGCUUAGUUGGUAGCGCGUCUGCCUUGUAAGCGCUAGACCGCGGGUUUGAUUCCCGCCCGGGGCG